CCUACGGGAGGCAGCAGUGGGGGAUAUUGGGCAAUGGGCGCAAGCCUGACCCAGCGACGCCGCGUGAGUGAAGAAGGCUUUCGGGUUGUAAACUUCUGUUGGCAGGGAAGAGUGGAAGGCGGUACCUGACGCAUAAGCCACGGCUAACUACGUGCCAGCAGCCGCGGUAAUACGUAGGUGGCAAGCGUUGUCCGGAUUUACUGGGUGUAAAGGGCGUGUAGCCGGGUUGACAAGUCAGAUGUGAAAUGCUGCGGCUUAACCGCAGAACUGCAUUUGAAACUGUUGAGCUUGAGUACUGGAGAGGCAGAUGGAAUUCCUAGUGUAGCGGUGAAAUGCGUAGAUAUUAGGAGGAACACCAGUGGCGAAGGCGGUCUGCUGGACAGCAACUGACGGUGAGGCGCGAAAGCGUGGGGAGCAAACAGGAUUAGAUACCCCAGUAGUC
rnacentral:rRNA from 1 species